GCAUCAACGCUGGCGGCGUGCUUAACACAUGCAAGUCGAGUGCGCAGCUUCCUGUAGCAAUACAGGGAGUGGGCGCACGGCGCACGGGUGAGUAACACGUGGGCAAUCUGCCCUUCGGUGGGGAAUACCCCCGCGAAAGCGGGACUAAUACCGCAUGACAUUCCGGUGGCUUCGGCCGCCGGACUCAAAGGCCGCAAGGCCGCCGGAGGAGGAGCCCGCGCCCGAUUAGCUUGUUGGCGAGGUAACGGCUCACCAAGGCUUUGAUCGGUAGCUGAUCUGAGAGGAUGAUCAGCCACACUGGAACUGAGACAUGGUCCAGACUCCUACGGGAGGCAGCAGUGGGGAAUCUUGCGCAAUGGGCGAAAGCCUGACGCAGCGACGCCGCGUGGGGGAUGAAGCUUUUCGGAGUGUAAACCCCUUUCGACCCGGAAGAAUGACCCGCAAGGGUUUGACGGUACGGGUAUAAGAAGCCCCGGCUAACUACGUGCCUGCAGCCGCGGUAAGACGUAGGGGGCCAGCGUUGCUCGGAAUUACUGGGCGUAAAGGGUUCGUAGGCGGUGCGGCAAGUUGGGAGUGAAAUCUCCAGGCUUAACUUGGAGGCUGCUUCCAAAACUGCCGUGCUCGAAUGCGGGAAAAGGCCAGUGGAAUUGCAGGUGUAGCGGUGAAAUGCGUAAAUAUCUGCAGGAACACCCGUGGCCAAAGCGGCUGGCUGGACCGCAACUUGACCUGA
rnacentral:rRNA from 1 species